GACGAACGCUGGCGGCGUGCUUAACACAUGCAAGUCGAGCGGGUAAGGCCCUUCGGGUACACGAGCGGCGAACGGGUGAGUAACACGUGGGUGACCUGCCUCUAGCUCUGGAAUAAGCCUGGGAAACUGGGUCUAAUACCGGAUAUGACUCCACGGCGCAUGUUGUGGGGUGGAAAGCCUUGUGUGGCUAGAGAUGGGCCCGCGGCCUAUCAGCUU
rnacentral:rRNA from 1 species